rnacentral:rRNA from 1 species
AAUAGAUACCCCGGUAGUCCACGCCGUAAACGAUGAGCGCUAAGUGUUGGAGGGUUUCCGCCUUUCAGUGCUGCAGCUAACGCAUUAAGCACUCCGCCCGGGGAGUACGGUCGCAAGACUGAAACUCAAAGGAAUUGACGGGGGCCCGCACAAGCGGUGGAGCAUGUGGUUUAAUUCGAAGCAACGCGAAGAACCUUACCAGGUCUUGACAUCUCCUGACCGCCCUGGAGACAGGGUCUUCCCUUCGGGGACAGGAUGACAGGUGGUGCAUGGUUGUCGUCAGCUCGUGUCGUGAGAUGUUGGGUUAAGUCCCGCAACGAGCGCAACCCUUGGUUCUAGUUGCCAGCAUUCAGUUGGGCACUCUAGAGCGACUGCCGGCGACAAGUCGGAGGAAGGUGGGGAUGACGUCAAAUCAUCAUGCCCCUUAUGACCUGGGCUACACACGUGCUACAAUGGAUGGUACAAAGGGCAGCGAAGCGGCGACGCAUGAGCGAAUCCCAGAAAACCAUUCUCAGUUCGGAUUGCG